rnacentral:rRNA from 1 species
CAAACAUAAUCAGAGAUUAUCUUGAGGACAUUAAUGAAAUACCAAAGUCACGCAUGUUUUGGCCUCGCAAGAUUUGGGGCAAAUAUUCUGACAACCUAGAGGAUGUAUAUCAAUAAGCGGAAGUAAAAGAAACCAACACGGAUUGCCUUAGUAGCGGCGAGUGAAGCGGCAAAAGCUCAAAUUUGAAAUCUGGCGCCUUCGGUGUGCGAGUUGUAAUUUGAAGAUUGUAACCUUGGGGUUGGCUCUUCUCUAUGUUUCUUGGAACACGACGUCACAGAGGGUGAGAAUCCCGCGCGAUGAGAUGCCCAAUUCUAUGUAAGGUGCUUUCGAAGAGUCGAGUUGUUUGGGAAUGCAGCUCUCAGUGGGUGGUAAAUUCCAUCUAAAGCUAAAUAUUGGCGAGAGACCGAUAGCGAACAAGUCCAGUGAUGGAAAGAUGAAAAGAACUUUGAAAAGAGAGUGAAAAACUACGUGAAAUUGUUGAAAGGGAAGGGUUUGAGAUCAGACUCGAUAUUUUGUGAGCCUUGCCUUCGUGGCGGGGUGACCCGCAGCUUAUCGGGCCAGCAUCGGUUUGGGCGGUAGGAUAAUGGCGUAGGAAUGU